rnacentral:rRNA from 1 species
UUCCUGGCUCAGGAGUGAACGCUGGCGCGUGCCUAACACAUAGCUAAGCGAACGGGCAUGUGCAUGAAACCAGUGAUUGCGCAUGCGAGUGGCGGACGGGUGAGUAACGCGUCGGACAACCUGCCGCAUGCAGGGGGAUACCAGCUGGAAACAGCUGCUAAUACCGCAUAUGCGCACGGCGCCGCAUGGCGCUGUGCGGUAAAGGAUUUUUCCGGCAUGCGAUGGGUCCGCGUCCGAUUAGCUUGUUGGCGGGGCAACGGCCCACCAAGGGCGACGAUCGGUAGCCGGCCUGAGAGGGCGGACGGCCACAUUGGGACUGAGACACGGCCCAGACUCCUACGGGAGGCAGCAGUGGGGGAUAUUGCACAAUGGGGGGAACCCUGAUGCAGCGACGCCGCGUGGGUGAAGGAGUAUUUCGGUAUGUAAAGCCCUAUCGGCAGGGAAGAAUCAAGACGGUACCUGACUAAGAAGCCCCGGCUAACUACGUG